rnacentral:rRNA from 1 species
AGUGAACGCUGGCGGUAGGCCUAACACAUGCAAGUCGAACGGCAGCACAGUAAGAGCUUGCUCUUACGGGUGGCGAGUGGCGGACGGGUGAGGAAUACAUCGGAAUCUACUUUUUCGUGGGGGAUAACGUAGGGAAACUUACGCUAAUACCGCAUACGACCUACGGGUGAAAGCAGGGGAUCUUCGGACCUUGCGCGAUUGAAUGAGCCGAUGUCGGAUUAGCUAGUUGGCGGGGUAAAGGCCCACCAAGGCGACGAUCCGUAGCUGGUCUGAGAGGAUGAUCAGCCACACUGGAACUGAGACACGGUCCAGACUCCUACGGGAGGCAGAAGUGGGGAAUAUUGGACGAUGGGCGCAAGCCUGAUCCAGCCAUACCGCGUGGGUGAAGAAGGCCUUCGGGUGGUAAAGCCCUUUUGUUGGGAAAGAAAAGCAGCAGGUUAAUACCCCGCUGUUCUGACGGUACCCAAAGAAUAAGCACCGGCUAACUGCGU